rnacentral:lncRNA from 1 species
GUUCCUCAGUACAGUACUCCAGCAGGGCUUAUAUAGACAACCCAAACCCAGCCAAAGCAAACCUCCCCAAAUCCAACAUUUCCUGCAUGUCCAAAAUGGGAGACAGGCGCCUGAGUAACCCGGGGCAAGACGCCGAAAGAAGCCUGUUUGUGUGCUGCGGCCGUGCUGUGACUCUGGAUCUUGUCUUUCAGCCGGCGCCUCGGUUCCUGCCCAGCUGGAUUUGGGGGGCAGCAUUGCCUGGCGCAGGGAGAUCAAAUGAGACUGCAAAGAACAUAAAAUGAAUAGACAAUCCAACCAACCAAAGACCGGGGGCAGCAGCAGGCCAGCAAGACGGCAUCUUCUCCUUCCCAGCCUAGAAGCCCUGUGAAAUCGAGGAUCUUCCCCCUAAAACACAUACACACAAGAUAUGUGCAAUCAAGCUGCCACCGCUUGGUAAAAAGCUCAUGGUGCCUAACCAAAAAGGAUCAGGAACAGAUCCUUGAAUCAGCUGUCACUUCUAUAGAAUGGGAUUUUUUUUCCUUCCUCCUUAACCUGCGCUGGAAAUUGCCGUUGGC